CUAAGUAUUUGGGGAAGCUUCUCAGUCAGAUACCCUUGAAAAAAUCUGAAUAUAAUAAAUCUGUAAAGGAAAUGUCAAUAUUUGAAGGGAUCCCAUAGCAAAUUUAAUUAGCCCCUUAAAUAUUGUAAGUGUACUUUUUCCAUUUUUUAUAUUCGGGUUUCUUUUUGAAUAUUUUCAUUUCUGAUCGACAGACUUUCCCAAAUACUACACUUAGUGCAUGUUGAGCAUACACUUUCCUAAUAAAUAAAGUAAUAAGAUUUAGAAGCUGAACUUUAAAAACUUAAGAACUAGCUUCAAUAAGUUGAAUAUUAAUUUUUAAAAUCAAAAUAGUCCCUGAAUAAUCUUUUCUACCUAAAGGGACUCCAAGAAUCACAGACACCCACAUUCACUUUUGGGUGGAACAGGCAGAGGCCAGACCAGCUCAUCACCGCUGACCCUUUCAGAGCCUCAGUGGGUAAAAUAAGCGCGUCCUCAUAAUGAGAGCUGCUAUAUUUGGGAUCUCUCCUUGUCCUCCAUUCAUGAUCUUACUUUCCUUUCAGUCCUAAAGAUUCAAACACGUGGUGUCAGUGUUGCUCUAAAGCACAGGCCGAUUCCCAGGGUCAGGCUCUAAAUUGUUUAACUAAAUCCAUUGACAAAUCACCCAGAAAAGCUUUUAAUAUGUUUGCAGGCUUAACCGUAGAAGCAAAGCAAAUUGUUCUUGAGAUCUUCAAAGCAGGCGUGCAGGUUUCACCAGUUCUUCCGCUUGCCCUGGGCAGGUCUGCAAGUCUGCUGGAACCUGGCACGCAGUGACCCUCCUGCCCAGCCACCCGGUUCCUGAGCUUCCUCUUCAUGCAAGAGUCCACUUGUAAAACAAACAACAGGCUUAGAAUUGUUCGUCCCCUUCACCACCAGAGCCUGGCAACCAUGCAUUACCCAACAUCGGUUACCAUGACUGCAAGGAGGCAGCAGACAGCAAGCCCACAGAAGUGUGUACUGAAGAAAGGGAAUUCAACAGCUCCUGGAGUUAACAAGUGA
rnacentral:lncRNA from 1 species